rnacentral:rRNA from 1 species
UACAGAGGGGCAAGCGUUAUUCGGAAUUAUUGGGCGUAAAGGGCGCGUAGGCGGCUUUGCAAGUGACGGGUGAAAUCCCUCGGCUUAACCGAGGAACUGCCUGUCAGACUGUAAGGCUUGAGACCGGGAGAGGUGAGUGGAAUUCCCAGUGUAGCGGUGAAAUGCGUAGAUAUUCGGAAGAACACCAGUGGCGAAGGCGACUCGCUGGACACAUAUUGACGCUGAGGAGCGAAAGCCAGGGGAGCAAAGCGGG